ACGCGCAUCAAGCGGUUGGAGGAAAAAAAACAGCCUUCUCUUAGUAUUUUGUAAAGUUUGUAUAAAAAACUUUAGGGUAAACUACAAAGACCACCCCUGGGGACUGUGACAAAGACCCCUGUACUUGUUUUUCAACAAAGACUUCCCUUAUACUAUGGCCGUGAGAUAAAGACCUCCUUUCGUUAGUGUUCCGUUCAAAUCCGUCAUUGCAAUAUUUUUUAAUCCUUAUAUUACUCUUCUGAGAAAAAAAUACUGUUCAUCUUCCCCGACCUCACCUCACAGUACACGAGCGAUGAUAGAUGUUGCAGUGGUGGCGGACUUCCGAAGUCCUCCCUCGCCUGUUGGUGAUGACGAUCUCAUCCAUUCAAAAAACAUAACGUCGGUGACGCGAAAUGGAAAUCAGAGUCCAGAGGUAUUCCGAAAAUUUGUCUUAAUUUCGUUUCUCUCUCAAUAGUCUGAUCAGAAUGGCUCAACAAUUCGUGAAAUCUGUCAAAGAUGGCUUGAAGCUCGCAAAGCGAAUAUACUUUGGAAAUGAUCGUUCCGUUUCACCUCCAAGGCCAGUCGCAAUGGAGAAAUCUUCCCACACGCUUCUUCAGACUUCUCCGAUGCUUUACGCGAUGGUCUCUGAUCCUGUAAUUAUUGAUAAUCCGGAUAUUCUGAGCUACCAGCCUGAGAUUUACAUUCUUCUGUAUUUGAUUUCAUGAGAAGAAGUGGAAAGAGAUGGAUAGAAACAGAGAAGCAAGGAGUCCUUAGCGGCGACGAAUGGAUUGUCGAGAAGGAGACAAAGGACCAGCAGUCUGAGGGAUUCACCUGAGGAAGAUGGGUCAAUGGAAUUGCAGGAAACGACGAGGUUACGAGAUCGAGUAAAUAAGAAAGAUAGAGAUCGAGAUCGGUCGAGUCGGAACAAGAGAAGAAGGGGAGAUAGAUUGAUGCAUGGGAGUAAUCGGGAGGAAGGUGGAGAAGAAUGUACCGAAGAAAGCGUUGACGAUGAUGAGGACGAAGACGCCGGUGCGGUUCGGAUGCUUCCCCCGAAUCCUCCAUCGUCCUCUCUGUCGAAUCAUCAUCAUCAUAGGAAGAGCUUUCCGCCUGCUAAGGUUGUUAGGGUGGCCCCGACGUGGAAGGUCCCUGAUGAGAUGUCGGUACCGAGAAAAGCUCGGUCAGCUUCGGCUAAAGGUCACAUGAAUGUUGACCUCAAGUGGAGGUGGUAGUGGUGGGGCAGGAGGAGGAGGAGAAGGUGGUGGCUGCGGCGAGCAGUUUCACCGUCAGGUUUCAACUUCACCUACGAGACCAAGUGCACCAGUACCCUCAACGGCUUUGAUCUCGCCUUCUUCUUCUACUGCUUCUAUGUCUGUGUCCGGAGAUUCAUCUAUUGAAAGUUUGAACUUAUGUUGCAGAAACCUAUCGGAGCUAAGCACCAGCCUCCAAAGAUUACUAAGGCCUCAUCUUCUUCAAUAUAGAAGAUUGAGAUCAACGUCGCAGAGAUUGAUAAGGCAAUUACAGUGCCCGCCAAACCAAGAAAUUACAGCAAACGCAUCACAGAAGAUAGAUUCAAAAGAGACCAAUGGAUCGAGUAACGAGGCAAAGUCGACAGUUUCUUCUCUGAUCUCAGUAUCAGUUUCGACUGCCGCCGCUGCAACAUCUAUCGCCACUGUUUAUGUACUAUGAGUGAGGUCGGGAAGAUGAAUAGUGUUUUUUCCAAUAGUUAUUUGAAGGGUAGUAUGAGGG